rnacentral:tRNA from 1 species
GCUUCCUUAGCUCAGCUGGAUAGAGCGUCCGCCUCCUCAGCGGAAGGCCGUGGGUUCGAAUCCCGCAGGGAGCGCCA